UGGAGGAGUCUAUCCAUUCACUAAGCAUGGAGUUUAAGAAAAUCCUUUUUAAAACCAUAUCACCAUUAAGAAUACUUGUUUGGGGUUCUAAUUAUCACCAAAUUUAGAUCAAAUCUAUUCAAAAAUAAACCAAGGAAUUUAAAUGGAGUUGCUUUUUUAAAACUGUGCAAUGCACAGGCACAUUAGGAACCUCAAAAUGAAAAUAAUUCUUACCUUAUAUGCGCAGGGUUUUGAUUUAUAUUUUUUCUUUUUUUUUUCUUUUGUGAUCUGAGGUGUUGUUUUCUUCCAUUAGUAACUGUUGCAGCUGCUGACAGUCCUACUUAAGAUCCUUGAUGGUAGCACUUCACCAUCGAAGUCACUGACACCUCCAUAUUUCCCUCAGAAUGACACAAGGAUACAGAUCAAGAUUUGAAAUUAAAUCCUCUUGUGAUUCUACUGUCCUGUCCUGAGGAAAGAAAUACAAAUGUCCAAGUAUUAACUGCUGACCUCUGUCACCCCUUAAUUAUGCAUUCUUGUAUCUUCUUUAAUACUUCCCUCGCAUAUCAAACUCCUAUUGUCGAGAUCUUGUCAUUAGAUGCUUCACAGGUAGAAAAUCAAAAGACAGUUGGCUUGAAGGCAAGAUUACAAAGAGACCUUGCAACACUGAAUCCCACACCAGCCUUCUGUGAAGCAUCUGAGAAGACAGAAUGGCCAGACUACGUGUUUCAAGGAAGACCAAACACAGACCAGGCACACG